GCUCUGAGCUCGACAGGCUCAUGGCUGUCUCUCUGAAACACUAGCCAGUUCACUGGGAGCUGCUGAUUGGUGAAGCAGCGUCACACAGAUAUGGUGUUAACUGUUGGAGGAAUGAAGUAGAGAGGCAGAGGGAGAUUGUGGGCAGGCAGCAGCAGCAGCAGCAACCUGGCGGUCGGUGCAGUGAUCUGAGCGUGGAAUGAGGAGCAGGAACUCUUGUUACUGUGCAGGAUGAUUGAGGAGUGUGGGAGAAGAGCGAAGACCAUGGCGGAGAAGAGGCAGUUAUUUAUGGAUAUGAAAUUUGUGCAGAAUUCACAAAAAUCUAUCAUCUGAGAGAAGGUGCAAGUAUCAGUCGUAGAACAAGGUAAGU